CCUACGGGAGGCAGCAGUGGGGAAUAUUGGACAAUGGGCGAAAGCCUGAUCCAGCAAUGCCGCGUGAGUGAUGAAGGCCUUAGGGUUGUAAAGCUCUUUUACCAGGGAUGAUAAUGACAGUACCUGGAGAAUAAGCUCCGGCUAACUCCGUGCCAGCAGCCGCGGUAAUACGGAGGGAGCUAGCGUUAUUCGGAAUUACUGGGCGUAAAGCGUACGUAGGCGGUUAUUCAAGUCAGAGGUGAAAGCCCGGGGCUCAACCCCGGAACUGCCUUUGAAACUAGAUAACUAGAGUCUUGGAGAGGUUAGUGGAAUUCCGAGUGUAGAGGUGAAAUUCGUAGAUAUUCGGAAGAACACCAGUGGCGAAGGCGACUAACUGGACAAGUACUGACGCUGAGGUACGAAAGCGUGGGGAGCAAACAGGAUUAGAUACCCUGGUAGUCCACGCCGUAAACGAUGAUAACUAGCUGUCCGGGCACUUGGUGCCUGGGUGGCGCAGCUAACGCAUUAAGUUAUCCGCCUGGGGAGUACGGUCGCAAGAUUAAAACUCAAAAGAUAUACGACGNGAGAGAGCGACGACGACGACGACGGAGGAGAG
rnacentral:rRNA from 1 species